rnacentral:rRNA from 1 species
GAUGAACGCUGGCGGCGUGCCUAAUACAUGCAAGUCGAGCGAACGGACGAGAAGCUUGCUUCUCUGAUGUUAGCGGCGGACGGGUGAGUAACACGUGGAUAGCCUACCUAUAAGACUGGGAUAACUUCGGGAAACCGGAGCUAAUACCGGAUAAUAUUUUGAACCGCAUGGUCCAAAAGUGAAAGACGGUCUUGCUGUCACUUAUAGAUGGAUCCGCGCUGCAUUAGCUAGUUGGUAAGGUAACGGCUUACCAAGGCAACGAUGCAUAGCCGACCUGAGAGGGUGAUCGGCCACACUGGAACUGAGACACGGUCCAGACUCCUACGGGAGGCAGCAGUAGGGAAUCUUCCGCAAUGGGCGAAAGCCUGACGGAGCAACGCCGCGUGAGUGAUGAAGGUCUUCGGAUCGUAAAACUCUGUUAUUAGGGAAGAACAUAUGUGUAAGUAACUGUGCACAUCUUGACGGUACCUAAUCAGAAAGCCACGGCUAACUACGUG